GACGAACGCUGGCGGCGUGCCUAAUACAUGCAAGUUGAGCGCUGAAGGUUGGUACUUGUACCGACUGGAUGAGCAGCGAACGGGUGAGUAACGCGUGGGGAAUCUGCCUUUGAGCGGGGGACAACAUUUGGAAACGAAUGCUAAUACCGCAUAAAAACUUUAAACACAAGUUUUAAGUUUGAAAGAUGCAAUUGCAUCACUCAAAGAUGAUCCCGCGUUGUAUUAGCUAGUUGGUGAGGUAAAGGCUCACCAAGGCGAUGAUACAUAGCCGACCUGAGAGGGUGAUCGGCGAAAUUGGGACGGAGACACGGCCCAAACUCCUACGGGAGGCAGCAGUAGGGAAUCUUCGGCAAUGGACGAAAGUCUGACCGAGCAACGCCGCGUGAGUGAAGAAGGUUUUCGGAUCGUAAAACUCUGUUGGCAGAGAAGAACGUUGGUGAGAGUGGAAAGCUCAUCAAGUGACGGUAACUACCCAGAAAGGGACGGCUAACUACGUG
rnacentral:rRNA from 1 species